GCAUCGAUGAAGAACGCAGCGUAACUGCGAUACGUAAUGCGUAAUUGCAGGAUUCAGUGAGUCAUCGAAAUNNGGAACGCAUAUUGCACUUCCGGGUUAGUCCUGGAAGUAUGCCUGUAUCAGUGUCCGUACAUUAAACUUGACUUNCUUCCUUCCGUGUAGUCGGUGGAGGAGAUGUCAGAUGUGAAGUGUCUUGCGAUUGGUCUUCGGACCGGCUGCGAGUCCUUUUAAAUGUACUAAACUGAACUUCUCUUUGCUCGAAAAGUGGUGGCGAUGCUGGUUGUGAAGGCUACUAAUGUGCCAAAUUGACGACUGGUUUGUCCUCCUGCGGCAUUAAUGGAAGAGUGUUCGAUUCGUGGUAUGGUUGGCUUCGGCUGAACAAUGCACNNAUUGGACGUUUUUCCUCCUGUGGCGUGAUGGACUGGUGAACCAUANCUCGGUGGCUUGGCUUUUGAAUUGGCUNUGCUGUUNCGAAGUAGGGUGGCANCNUCGGUUGUCGAGGGUCGAUCCAAUUGGGAACNUAAUCUGNACUUCGGUAUGCAUCUCAAUUGGACCUGAUAUCAGGCAAGAUUACCCGCUGAACUUAAGCAUAUCAAUAAGCGGAGGA
rnacentral:rRNA from 1 species